UUUGUUUUGCCUGACACACUGGAAAAGUUGUUCAGUACUGGUUCAUCUCAGCAAAGCUAUUAUUAUUUGAAUGCUAGAAAGGUCAGCUGGGGUUAUCUGCAGCAUAAAUACUGGCUGUGCAAAUUCAUGGGAGGGAGCCUAGUUCUUGCACUGUUCCUUCUGAAACAAUGAUAUUUGGGUCAUUGUUUAUGAAUCUGGCUGCCAUGAGUCAAUCCUCUUCUCUGUCCCCCUUUUACAUGGCCUGUAAACAACUUUCCAGAUGGGCUGACAUCUCACUGUUGAUGGAGCUCUCUGCAUGAAUUCCUUUUGUGUUACCCCUGUGGAAGAGGUGUGUGGUGCAGAUACUCUGCUUGCUGGUGUAUGGAAACCUAAAGAUGGACCUAGCUGGUCAUACUGGCUGGAAUCCAGAUGGAAGUGAGCAUACCUUACUUUGCUCUCUCUGAUGCUGUAAUUGAAUAUUUCUGGAAGACUCCAGUUGCAACACGUGUAGCCUGGAAGAAUGACAAUAAAGUACAAUGAAUGUUUGAGAGACAUCUUAGUGGAAGUUUUCUCAGGCAUGCAAAUCGUCAAGACCACCCAGGCACUUAGGAAGUCAGAUUAAAAGUCAAUUUGUGACUGAAAAAUGAAGGCUCUGCAGCUUCAUUCAUCUCAGCAUUUCUUCAUAAUGGACCCAUUUUAACAUUCAUCCAUGAAACAGAAAGAAUUAAUUCUGCAGAAGAAGCAGGUGAAGACUGCACCCAUCACUCCGCCCAAUGAACAUCGAAAUUGCAACAAUCAGGUCUCAUG